UUCGGUUUGCCAGUAACCUGGGUAUUCCUCUGGCCGGGACGGGCUUAUCAAAGCCCGGAAACAAAAUGGCCAGCCGAAGCCCGGCCCGAAAUUUUAACUGGCAUCAAACCCGAGCCCGGCCCAAAGCUCGACAAACAUACACAUCGCACAAUUUUCUCAUCGUACAGCAGCAAUAUUUCAUGAAAAAAUCUGCAUACAAUACUUGUAGAUCUAUACUACAAAAUCUUCACAUCAGUGCAUACAUCUCAACAUUAAUAAGAUAUCUUUUUGCAAUGAAUAUGCUUUCACAAACGGAGACAGUGCCAGCGUCGACGCACACGAUAACUUACGUGAUGCAUGAACACUAUAGAAGUACAGAUCCUUGCAGAUUCACGGAUCUAACUAGCCACACACAAGAAUACCUCACAGAUCAUGCUCAUGGACACACGAACAACUUUAAGAAAAUAUCACACAAGCACACACACGUGCACUGAGAAAAUCAUUCAGAGGCUUGGACAACCAGUAGAAGUAUGUGAUAGGCCAUGUAGACUGUAGAACGCCAUUCGAUGAAGCAUAGCAGCCAAUGGUGGAGGACGCUGCUGGGGUGCUGCUGCUAGCUAGGAGCCUAGGACGAUGGAGGAAGGAAGGAAAUCUUCAGCCGCCGAUUCCGUCAAGGUGAGCACCGCCGCCGGCGUCGGCGUGAGCUCCAUACACUAGGCUGAGGAGAACACAGACCUGGUGGAGAGCGUGGAGGGGUGGAGUGGUAGGGAAUCUCGCCAUGGACAGAAAAAAGCGGCGGCUUGAGUGGGAUGUGUGAGGCAAGAUGCGGAUUGAGGCAGGUUAGGGUUGGGGAUCUGCUCGGUAGACACUUUUAUAGGGCGGCUGGAUCAUCGGGGUGUUCCAGAUUUCUGAUCUAGCACAGCUUCGGCCGGGCCGGGCUGUUUUCGGCCUGGAAACUGAAGCCCGAGCCCGGCCGGAUUUAUACUUCCGGCUGCAAAACAAGGCCCAAACCAGGCCCAAGGGACAAGCCCGGCCCUGCUCCGGGCCAAGCUGCCCAUGGCCGGGUUUAUUACUUUGUCCAAAGGCUAAAGUCGAUCAAUCUGAUCGGUAGAGUUCUAAAAUCACUAAUUGAGGAGGACUCCUUUCAAAUAUCACUUUCAUUUUCCUUGAUAGUGACAAAUGGCGUGCUGCAUAUGCCGUUUGUCGCAGCCUGUGACUUUUUUCUUUCUUAAAUCCAUUCAUUCGAAACGUUUGAUCUUUAAACCGUGCGUCCAAAUCUUGAAUCGUUUUUCAUCAUUGGAUUCCUCGCGUCGAGAUCUUCAAAACUAAAUCCCAUAUUGAUAGAUUUUGACGAACUCAUUUUUAAUGAAAAAAAUUCAACAAAAAAAACCCGGAGCACAUUUUUUUUCUUUCCGAAAGCCGUUUCCAAGAGGCACGUCUGUGUCUCACUCGGAAGCAAACCGUGCCUCUCACGAAAGAUAAGUUGUGCCUCUCACAGAAGAAGAAAAAUAGAAAACACGCUUACUUAUUUCUGAGAGGCACGAUCGUGCCUCUCGCAGAAUCAAAACCGUGUCUCUCACGAAAGAAAAAAAAAACUGUUUUUCCGUUUCCGAGAGAUAUGGGCAAACCUCUCGCGGGAAGCAAAUUCAUGCCUCGCGAACGCAACAUCGUGCCUCCCACAGAAGAAAAAAAACGUGUUUUUGUUCAAAAGCUAGAAAGAUCGGUCAAAACCAAAAAACUGGAGAAAACCAAAGAAACAACCAUCUAAAAAGCCGAAACGCAUGCGAAAAAAUAAAAAUAAAAACACAAUCCAGAGGAAGCGCACAGUGCGCGACAUGUCAUGGCGGCUGAGAGCACGCCAAAUGGCACGCUCUUAGCCCAGCCCAAAGUGACCCAUGAGGGGGCUGAAAACGAGCGUUCCUUUUGUCCUUGAUUGUGUCGACUUGCAGAUCGAGUUUUUUUAUUGAGAAUCUGCAGAUCGAGUUUGCUUUGCACGAGAUCUCCUAGAGCAAUAAGUUGACGAGCACUACUUCGGAGCCUCGCAACGACCGCUUGCUGGUGGAUUGAGAGAGCGACACUUGGCACACUCUCAGCCGCCACCACUUGUCGCGUCCUGGGCGCUCCAUUCGCAUUUUAUUUUUUCGCACGUGUAUUUUGCAUUUUAGAUGGUUUUUUUAUUUGAAAUUUUCGGUUUUCACUGAUCUUUCUUAGCUUUUGGACAAAAAAUGCGCGAAAAAGGUGUUUUUUUUGCUUCAGUAUGAGGCACAGUUUUGCUUUCACAAGAAGCAUGGUUUUGUUUCCACGAGAAGCACGGUUGUGCCUCUCAAAAACGAAAAAACACGUUUCACUUUUUUUUCUUUCAUGAGAGCCACGGUUUUGCUUCUAUGGGAGGCACAGCUUUGCUCCCACGAGACGCACGGGCGCACGGCCGUGCCUCUCGGAAAGAAAAAAAACAUGUUUUUUCUUUUUUUUCUUGCGCGAGAUGCACAUUUUUGUUUCCGCGAGAGGCAUGGUUUUGCUUCCACCAGAGGCACAGAUUUGCUUCCGCGAGAUGCACUGUUGUGCCUUUUGGAAAAGGCUUCCGGAAAGGGGAAAAUGUGCUCCCGAUUCGGCUAUUUCGUAUGCGUUUUUCGUCCUAUUUUUUUGUAAAAGAAAGGUUCUCAAAACCUAUCAAUAUGGGAUCUAAUUUGAAGAUCUCAACGUGAGAAAUCCAACGGUGAAAAACGGUUCGAGAUUUAGACGCACGGUUUAAGAGAUAAAACAUUUUGAAUAAACGAAUGUACGAAAAAAGAAAAAAAACUCCCAAGUUGCGACAAAUGACCGUACAUGAAACACGCCACUUGUCACAACCUAAAAAGAUGAGAAUGAUCUUUGAAAGAAGUACUUCUCAAUAUAUUUUCUUUUGAAAAUUGAGUACUCCUCAAUUAGCAAUUUCGACGCGUUCUGCGACCGAUAGUCAGGGAAUUGCACAGUGAGGCCGCGCUGGGCUGGCCCAUUGGGCUCUAAACAAAGCCUAAUUUGGUAGGUGCCACACGUUAUCUAAACAAAGCGCCACACGUUAUAAAUAACUAGUCACUUGUGAUCCUGGCCACAACAGAUGACGAGGGAUAGUAUCUAAACAAAGCGCCACACGUUAUAAAUAAGUAGUCAAUGUGCACGUGCAUUUGGAAGUAUAUAUUAAGUGCAUGCGUAUAUUAAGUAGGAUAUUAUUUAUGUGUUAUUAUGUGAUUAGCAUUAUAUUUGACAUGAAAUUAACCGCACGUUAAACGUGUUGAGCGCUCGACACUGAAGCAGUUUAGGUCGUUGGAUUGACAUGAUUUGAUGGCCGAGAUUAAUUGGAUCUGCCCCUUUUGGUCUUUUUAUAUUGGUAUAGAUAAAACAGCACCAUCAGAUCCUAACAAAUAUCAAAUGCGAACAUUUUCUUGGAAAAAGAAUUCUUGAAAUGCAAUUGUUUUUCAAUUUUAUGAUUAAAUUUGUAAAAUUUAAAUAUUUUUGAAAAAACGAACAUUAUUUGAAUCUAUGAAGCAUACUUUUUAAAGGGGGCAUUUAUUGGAGUUUUGAAGAAAAUUUUAAAACACAAACAUUUUUAAAAUUUGUGAACAAAUUUUAAGAAUAAGAACAUUUUUGAAACUCGCAAUACUUUUGGAAAUUCCUAGACAAUUUUAAAAAAUGUGAACAAUUUUUUAGGUUAGGUACAAAAUUUAAAACCAAUAACAUUUUUUUAAAUGAGAACACUUUUGACAUUUUUCGAAAACAUAAACAUUUUUCUAAAUGUGAACAAUUUUAGAAAACAAGAACAAUUUUUGAAUUUCCAAACAUCUUUUUGGAAAAAACAAACAAUUUUUAAAAAUUUAAACAAGUUUUAGAAUUCUAAAGUUUUGAAGUUAUGAAGAAUGAAAAAAAUAAAAAUAAACAUGAAAAAUAAAAAAGGAAAUCAAAUAACGAGUAAAAGAAGGAAACAUAUUCAAAAGCCUCCUAGAAGGUUGCCAACACUAGUAAAUACAGGCUUGGAAACCUUCUACAAGGUUCCAAAAACCGGGAUCGAUGAAAGCCUUAACGGGCCGGCCCGACUAAUUGCUUGAUCGUCAACUCCUAUGCGAAAGGUUGACCCUUUGAUAAAAUGCUUCAUAUAGGGUUUUCUGCUUUGUACAUGAUUGUGUAGUGGAGGAAAUAGCCACACUAGCCGAGUUGGGCUCAAUCCCAACCGAUCCCGUGGGUUGACCCAGGCAGGGCUAUAUCCCCAAGCCUUCUUUGAUGUGCAUUGGGCUACAUCUAGUCGGGUUUCUUCCCCCUCCUAGUUUCACGUGUUGAAAAUAGUCAUUAAAGGUAUCUACAACGACGCCGCUUAGGCCAAGCGUCAGGCUUCAACUCCUGGCCAUUAUGGUUGAAUCCCAUCGCAUAAAAGGAUUCUUUUAUUUUGAACCGGUUUAGCACCCCACUGGUGCAACGACGUCCUAUACAAACGGUUUUACCCCCUUUCCACGACAGAGUUUUAAAUUGUCGCUUUGUCUGUGUGUGCUAUAGGGGGGUCCAUCCCUCACAUCCCAAAAAUCGUCUGCAAUAGGGCGUGAUGAUGCAAACGCUCUACAAAAUGUAAUCAUAUGCGAUGCAGGCGCGUAUGGCACAUGUGUGGGCUUGGGGAUCAAUGGCACAUGUUUCUCACGAGUCAAACGUUUCUAGUUGCAUAGGGAGACCAUGAAGGAAAUAUGCCCUAGAGGCAAUAAUAAAGUUGUUAUUUUAUAUUUCCUUAUUCAUGAUAAAGGUUUAUUAUUCAUGCUAGAAUUAUAUUGAUCAGAAACUUAAAUACAUGUGUGAAUACAUAAACAAAUACCAUGUCCCUAGUAAGCCUCUACUAGACUAGCUCGUUGAUCAAAGAUGGUUAAGGUUUCCUAACAAUAGACAUGUGUUGUCAUUUGAUAACGGGAUCACAUCAUUAGGAGAAUGAUGUGAUGAACAAGACCCAUCCGUUAGCUUAGCAUAUUGAUCGUUGAGUUUAUUGCUAUUGCUUUCUUAAUGUCAAAUACAUAUUCCUUCUACUAUGAGAUUAUGCAACUCCCGGAUACCGGAGGAAUACCUUGUGGGCUAUCAAACGUCACAACGUCACUGGGUGAUCAUAAAGAUGUCCUACAGUUAUCUCGAAGGUGUUUGUUGAGUUGGCAUAGGUUGAGAUUAGGAUUUGUCACUCCGAGUAUCAGAGAGGUAUCUCUGGGCCCUCUUGGUAAAACACAUCAUAAGUAGCCUUGCAAGUAAAGUGACUAAUGAUUUAGUUGCAAGAUGAUGUAUUACAAAACGAGUUAAGAGACUUGCCGGUAACGAGAUUGAACUAGGUAUGAAGAUACCGACGAUCGAAUCUCGGGCAAGUGACAUACCGAUGGACAAAGGGAAUUACGUAUGUUGUCAUAAGGUUCGACCGAUAAAGAUCUUCAUAGAAUAUGUAGGAGCCAAUAUGGGCAUCCAGGUUCCGCUAUUGGUUGUCGACGAGAGAGGUGGCUCGGUCAUGUCUACAUAGUUCUCGAACCUGUAGGGUCCGCACGCUUAAUGUUUGUUCACGAUAUAGUGUUAUAUGAUUUGGUGACCGAAUUUUGUUCGGAGUCCCGAAUGAGAUCAUGGACAUGACGAGAAGAUCCAGAAUGGCCCAGAGGUAAAGAUUGAUAUAUAUAGGACGAUGAUAUUUGGACAUCGGAAGAGUUCCGAGAUGUACAGGGUAGAAAUCGGGUCACCGGAAGGGAUUCCGGACUGCCCGGGAGGUUAAUGGGCCAUAUGGGCCAAAGGGGGCGAACACACCAGCCGCAAGGGGCUGGUGCACCCCUCCUAGGCCUCGGCCCUUGGGGAGAGAAGGAAAAGGGGGGGGAGUCAGCCUCCCCUUUCUUUCCUCUCCCCUUUUCCUCCCCCCUCCCUCCAGCAAAUAUGGUAAGGGCACGGCUAGGGGAGGACCCCAAGUAGGAUUCAGCCUACUUGGGGCACCUCCUUGGCUGCUCCUCCCUCCCUCCACCUAUAUAUAUGUGGGAGGGGGCGCCACACAUAACCACGACAAUUGUUUAGCCAUGUGCGGCGCCCCCCUCCACAGUUUAGUCCCUCGGUCAUAUUUUCGUAGUGCUUAGACGAAGCCCUGCGGAGAUAGCUUCACCAUUACCGUCACCAUUCCAUCGUGCUGCUGGAACUCAUCCACUACUUCGUCGUCUUGUUGGAUCAAGAAGGCGCGGACGUCACCGAGCUGAACGUGUGCUGAACGCGGAGGUGCCGUACAUUCGGUACUCGGUAGGUUGGAGCGCGAAGAAGUUCGACUACAUCAACCGCGUUAACAAAUGCUUCCACUUACGGUCUACGAGGGUACGUAGACAUUCUCUCCCAUCUUGUUGCUAUGCAUCUCCUUGGAUAGAUCUUGCGUGUGCAUAGAAUUUUUUGUUUUCCAUGAAACGUUUCCCAACAGUGGCAUCCGAGCCAGGUCUAUGCGUAGAUGAUAUGGACAAGUAGAACAC
rnacentral:lncRNA from 1 species